GGAAUAUAUUAUCAGUUCAAACACCUAAAUGCAUGCAAGAAAUUGCUUUGCCUCUAUUCAUUAAUGAUAAUACCAUAAAGAGGGCAAAAAAAUUACUUAAAAACUAACUCGCAAGAAUUGAUUGUUGCUAAGGAAAUAUAGGAAUAGAGCUUCCAGAACAACGUUCCUCUAAUUAUUGUGUACUCCAUUUAUUGUUUCCAUCUGAGAUGCAAACCCAAAGAAGUCUUAACAGUAACAGCUAAAAAUUCUAACUGCCAGGGAAUGGUUACCAAAAAAUUCAAAGGCUAAUGUCCAAGGCUUUAUAUUGUCAAAAAGAAAAGGUGCCAAAAGAAAGCAAAUCUAACAAAUCUAUUUUGACCUUUGCUGGGUAUAGCGUAAGAUUCCAUAUACAUCUAUGAUUCCUGGAGGAAAAACAGGAUCACUUGCUGCCCUUACUGCAACCUUUGCCACUGCACUCACAUUGACAGGUGGAGUGAACAGAGGUCCAACAAGUGGAAGCUGCUUAAGUGGUUUUGCAUGUUGAAGAACCUGCAGUUACGUGUACGAGGUUAGUGAAUCACAAAAUAAUCGGUAACCCAUCACACUCCCAUAUUCCUGAGCUUGUAGAUCUUCUGAAUUGCAUUUUCAAGCAUUUUACGUUGGAUAAAAAAUAAUUGGGAAUAGAACACUCCUCAGGCUUUACUUCAUGAAACUACAUUGUUCAUAUCUUCAAAACAAACAAAUUAGAGUCUUUUCUUACCCUCAAAACUUCUACGUAAUCUAUGAAAUAGAGGAAAGAAGAGUGGUAACUUUCGGGGAACUAUCAAGCCAAAAACAAUGGACAAUCAAAGGGAGUAAUUGCAAAGUAUAUGGACCAUUCCGGUUGAAUCUGCCCAAACCUGGUGCUCAGAUGGAUUACAUUAAUCAACUUCAUUUUCAUUUCUAUUGUCCAGCAUAAUUGAGUUGGGGAAACCUAACAGUACAAAAAAUAUAUAAGCAUAAGAAGUUACCAUCUCCAUUGGAGAACCAAUCAUGCCUAGAGGUAACUUAAUGCUCCCUAAACUGCGAGUCCCAUAAAUAAACCCAGGCCUGAGAAUCACUCCUCCAUAAGGAAACUUAGUCAGUAACUCUGUUUCAGCAGCUCUCUACUUCAAAGAGGAAGAGUAACAAUUUUGCAUUAGAUAAGAAUUAUUAGAACAAAAGGAAAGUAAUCAGUAUUAUGACUACAAUAAGCGAUGCAUGUUUAAUUUCAUAUUAAAUCUUUGGUAAACAUAAGCAUGGGUAAAACAACACAAUCUGGUAGUUGAAUAGAUUCAACAACAAUAAAUAAAGUAGUUAACAUAAAGUGUUCGAAAUCAGCCCUUCUUCAAGAGUACCAAAGAUAGUAACUAACAAGUUAAAACAUCAGCAGAAUAACAUGAUUUCAGUUCUCCAAAUGAACUAUAAAUUUCUAACUAACAAGUGACAAUUAGCAGUAUACAAGUACUCAAGAAAGUACCUUUCCAUCAUAAUAUCCUUGCAGCAAAUAAUUGGCCAAACCAAAGUCGGCAGCAGAGAUAUAAACAAAUCUUUUUACACCUUGUUCUGAAGCAGCUCUUAUUGCAUUGAUGUUUGCAGUUCCGUUAAUCUUGUACAUAUGAGAGUUUGAGCCAAAACCACCAACACAGGAAAUAAUGGCAGAAACCCCAUUAAGAGCUUCCUUCCAUGAAUCAGGUGAAAAAAGAUCUCCUUGAUGCCAGGUUAUGGCAUUAGCCCAAGAAUCACGUAUUGAAGACCUACCAGACCUGCUAAGGCUAGCAACCGAUAAACCACGAUCCAAAGCUUCUCUGCAAAUAUGAGAGCCAACAAAUCCAUUUCCACCCAACACAAGCAACUUCUCCGUUGGUGGCGGAGGGAUGUCUACUGUCUCUGCUUCCUCGACUUUGAACGGUUCAUCAACCUUACUAGAAUCAGUUGACAGAUACCUCCCAUUCCUAGAUGCAGCUAUUAUAUAUAGUCUGGAGAGGGAUGAUCUUGAAUUGAUCAACCGUGAAGCGACCGUCGUCAUUUGAAAUAUAUGAUAUUAGCUUUCUUAAACUUGUCCGAUCAACAACAAGAGCUUAGGUUUUCCAAGGAUUGCCUAUGCCUUGAGCUCCUGCUCUCUUGAGUAUCUACCACUAGAAAAGUUUGGCUCGCUCACGCAGAAAAUGAUCCCAUUCCACAGGGAAAACAGUACACAUGGCACGUAAGGAAGCCGACAGGUCGCGAUGUACAUGUGGCUUGAUGUGAACCUAGAGAAACUGCGAAGAGGAGGAGUUAUUGGUGUUAAACCUAGUGGACCUAAAAAACGGUGUUUCUUGAUUUUUCCAAGACGUGGCAGCUGUAUACAGCUUUAAUUAGAGACCCCGAACUCAUAAGCGCUCCAAGCAGUAGGCACUAAUAUGUAUAGUAUAGAUAGAGUGGAUAAUUGCCCACUUGGACUACACAAGGAGGGUCCAAGAGUUUGAGGAUCUUGGGCCGAACUACAUCCAUGAUAGCUUUAGGCGAGUAAAGGAUUGAUAGAGCCGAGUAUGGCUCCCUUCGGCCUUCACAAGAAAGUCUUUGCUUUAGUUUUUUGAGGAGCUCCUCUGAAAGCACCAUUCAAUCGACAAGGCCCAAAUGAAGAACUGGUCUUCGUUGUCUCUGCCUCACUGGUUCGUAGGGAGAGAAAGGGUGGAGAAGGAUUUGCAGGCUCAGGAGUCAGACCCUUUAAAAGAGCUCGUCUGUACGACCAUUCAAACAUACUCGUUACUUCCAUCUUCGCUUGAAAUGGUUCCGACUCUUGGGUUGGUGUUUUUGGUGAGUUUUUCUUCUUUCAACAUAAACUUCAGGUACCAAAGGAAGAAGGAAUAGGCACAUUUUAGAGUUGAGGGACUUGAAAGAAUAGAAUGCGCAGUUAGCAAGUUUCUUCCCUAGGCUAGGCUGCAUUCAACAAUCAAGAUCAAUGUUCU
rnacentral:misc_RNA from 1 species